CGGGCGUCUUAACAUGCAAGUCGAGCGAACAGAAAAGGAGCUUGCUCCUUUGACGUUAGCGGCGGACGGGUGAGUAACACGUGGGCAACCUACCCUAUAGUUUGGGAUAACUCCGGGAAACCGGGGCUAAUACCGAAUAAUCUCUUUUGCUUCAUGGCAAAAGACUGAAAGACGGUUUCGGCUGUCGCUAUAGGAUGGGCCUGCGGCGCAUUAGCUAGUUGGUGAGGUAACGGCUCACCAAGGCGACGAUGCGUAGCCGACCUGAGAGGGUGAUCGGCCACACUGGGACUGAGACACGGCCCAGACUCCUACGGGAGGCAGCAGUAGGGAAUCUUCCACAAUGGGCGCAAGCCUGAUGGAGCAACGCCGCGUGAGUGAAGAAGGUUUUCGAAUCGUAAAACUCUGUUGUAAGGGAAGAACAAGUACAGUAGUAACUGGCUGUACCUUGACGGUACCUUAUUAGAAAGCCACGGCUAA
rnacentral:rRNA from 1 species